rnacentral:rRNA from 1 species
AUUUUUGACAAUGGGGGCAACCCUGAUCCACCCAUGCUGCGUGUGUGAAGAAGGUCUUCGGAUUGUAAAGCACUUUAAGCUGGGAUGAAGGGCUUUAGGUUAAUACCCUGAAGUUUUGACGUUACUAACAGAAUAAGCACCGGCUAAAUCUGUGCCAGCAGCCUCGGUAAUACCGAGGGUGCAUGCGUUAAUCGGAAUUACUGGGCGUAAAGCACGCGUAGGUGGUUCAGUAAGAUGGGUGUGAAAUCCCCGGGCUUAACCUGGGAACUGCUUUCAUAACUGCUGAGCUAGAGUACGGUAGAGGGUAGUGGAAUUUCCUGUGUAGCAGUGAAAUGCGUAGAUAUAGGAAUGAACACCAGUGGCGAAGGCGACUACCUGGACUGAUACUGACACUGAGGUGCGAAAGCGUGGGGAGCAAAC